rnacentral:pre_miRNA from 1 species
CGUUGAGUCUCACGUUAUGUGGAGAUUAUCAACCCCCAGCUAGAACAGAAGAAUAUGUAUACUAUUCUUGUGUUCUAGCUGGGGGUUGAUAAUGCAAACUAGACAAGAUUUCAGUA